GAUGAAGAACGUAGCGAAAUGCGAUAAGUAGUGUGAAUUGCAGAAUUCAGUGAAUCAUCGAAUCUUUGAACGCACAUUGCGCCCUAUGGUAUUCCGUAGGGUAUGCCUGUUCGAGCGUCAUUUGUACCCUCAAGCUCUGCUUGGUGUUGGGUGUUUGUUCCGCCUCUGUGUGUGAACUCGCCUCAAAACAAUUGGCAGCCGGCGUACUUGUUUCGGAGCGCAGCACAUUUUGCGAUCCAGAUCAACGUACAGCGGCAUCCAAGAAGCCUUAUUUAACGCUCUUGACCUCGGAUCAGGUAGGGAUACCCGCUGAACUUAAGCAUAUCAAUAAGCGGAGGA
rnacentral:misc_RNA from 1 species